GUGGGGAAUAUUGCACAAUGGGCGCAAGCCUGAUGCAGCAAUGCCGCGUGUGUGAAGAAGGCCUGCGGGUUGUAAAGCACUUUCAGUAAGGAGGAAAAUUUUAAGGUUAAUAACCUUGAAACUUGACGUUACUUACAGAAGAAGCACCGGCUAACUCCGUGCCAGCAGCCGCGGUAAUACGGAGGGUGCGAGCGUUAAUCGGAAUUACUGGGCGUAAAGCGUGCGUAGGCGGCAUGGUCAGUCGGAUGUGAAAGCCCCGGGCUUAACCUGGGAAUUGCAUUCGAUACUGCCAAGCUAGAGUAUGUUAGAGGAAAGUGGAAUUCCCGGUGUAGCGGUGAAAUGCGUAGAUAUCGGGAGGAACAUCAGUGGCGAAGGCGACUUUCUGGAUCAAUACUGACGCUGAGGUACGAAAGCGUGGGGAGCAAACAGG
rnacentral:rRNA from 1 species